UGUGUUCCUUGCACGGACGCGGGACCCCAUGCCACUAGGUGCUCCUUGCACACUCGCCCUUCCCUUGCACGCUCGCCCUUUGCACACCCCCACUGCACACCUUUCAUUUGCACGCUCGCUCUUUGCACACCCCCGAUGCGCCCCUCCCUUGUACACCCUUCCCAUGCACGCUCGGCCUUCCCUUGCACACUCACCCUUUACACACUCGCCCUUGCCUUGCACACUCACCUUUUGCACACCCCCGCUGCACCCCUUUCAUUUGCACGCUCACUCUGUGCACACUGACACACCCCUCCCUCGCACGCUCACUCUUCCCUUGCACACCUGCCUUUUGCACACCCCCACUGCACUUUUCAUUUGCACACUCGCUCUUUGCACACUCCCAACGCACACCUCCCUUGCACACCCUUCCAUUGCACACUCACCCUUUGCACACCCCCAAUACACCCCUCCCUUGCACACCCUUCCCUUGCACACGUGCACACUCCCCCUUUGCACACCCCUCAGGGAUACUCACACUUCUCACACUCACCCCUCCCACACCCCACCCUCUCACACACUCACUUUGCACCCACCCCGCAUGCUCCUUCUUGCACAUCCACCUGUGUGCACCCCCUCUUUGCACACUCACCCCUUGUACACUCACCUCCCUUGCAAGCCCCCCUUUAGCACUCCCCAUGCACCCCCCCUUGCACACUCACCCUUUGAA
rnacentral:lncRNA from 1 species